rnacentral:rRNA from 1 species
AACGAACGCUGGCGGCAGGCCUAACACAUGCAAGUCGAACGCUGCAGCAAUGCAGAGUGGCAGACGGGUGAGUAACGCGUGGGAACCUUCCCAGUGGUACGGAAUAGCCCAGGGAAACUUGGGGUAAUACCGUAUAAGCCCCUAGGGGGAAAGAUUUAUCGCCAUUGGAUGGGCCCGCGUCGGAUUAGCUAGUUGGUGAGGUAACGGCUCACCAAGGCAACGAUCCGUAGCUGGUGAGAGAAUGACCAGCCACACUGGGACUGAGACACGGCCCAGACUCCUACGGGAGGCAGCAGUGGGGAAUCUUGGACAAUGGGCGCAAGCCUGAUCCAGCCAUGCCGCGUGAGUGACGAAGGCCUUAGGGUUGUAAAGCUCUUUUGCCAGGGACGAUAAUGACGGUACCUGGAGAAUAAGCCCCGGCAAACUUCGUGCCAGCAGCCGCCGCAG